rnacentral:tRNA from 1 species
GAGAGAUGGUCGAGUGGUUUAAGGCAGCGGUCUUGAAAACCGCCGUGGCAGUGAUGCCACCGGGGGUUCGAAUCCCCCUCUCUCC